rnacentral:tRNA from 1 species
AGCCACGUGGCCUAAUGGAUAAGGCGUCUGACUUCGGAUUAGAAGAUGAGUGUUCAAAUCCCUUCGUGGUUA